rnacentral:snoRNA from 1 species
ACUGCCCCCAGAGGUGGUGCAGAUGUGGCUGCUGUGUCACGUGUGUGGCAGUGGGUAACAAAGAGGAGAGAGGCUACGCCUGUGCUCCGUGUUCUGACCUGUGAACGCCUGAAAACACUCCGUGAAAAA